UUCUGGUGCCAUCGCACUGCCAGUGCGGCUGGGCCUGCGUGCGCAGCCUCUGUUCACGUUUCUCUCCUCCCGCGAGAUCAGGUCUGAGGCCCCGGGUAGUCUCGAGGCCGGGUUCUCGAGGCCCCGGGUGUUCUCUAGGUACCCGGAUGUUCUCGAGGGCCCUGGAUGUUCUCAGCGCCCAGAGGCAGGAAGUGGAUCUGCUGCUAAGUAGCUUCAGUGGUGUCCGACUCUGUGCGACCCCAUAGACGGCAGCCCACCAGGCUCCCCCGUCUCUGGGAUUCUCCAGGUCAUCCUCUGGAAGGUAACACGGCUGUUAGCACUUGGACAAGCCAGAUGGCCCACUCGACAGACAGCCGACUCCCCCCUCCUCCUUGACCCAGUCCCGAAGUUCAGCUGUUCCCAGCCUUGGCAUUACUGAGCUCAGAACAUCACCCAAACACAGGGCAUGAGGGGGAAACACGGGGAUGAAUUUAACGUUCACCAUCAGCUUGGUCUGGAUGGAGGCUGAGCUGAAUCAUCUGUGCUGGGAUUCCCUUGGCCCUGCCGCAGUGCUCUGAAGGUGGAGGUCACAUCUGUGAGCCAACGUCCUCUAGCUCGGCGGCCACUUGCAACGACAGGUCCCCCACUCCUGCCAACCGACGUUCCCAAUUUCAUCCAUGAUCUCCUGCAGCUGUCUCAGGUGGAUGCCAUCUGCUUGCAAUGAUUCAUCUAUUGAGUAAGCUUCAAAUCCAUAAAGACUGGGAUCAGCCUCUGCUCUGGGAUGUACUGGCCCAUUUUGAAAAUGAGAAAACUGAGCCUCGAAGAGAUAAAAGUGACUUGACCUCAAGAAAACUGAUCAGCUCUGAUCACGUGUUUUCCUGCAUUGAAGCAUUUUUUCAUCCUGGAACCACACACCACUGGGGCACUGGAGACAAGAAGCAGUGAUGCUUGCCUAAGCUCCUGAGUGCAUCCAAGGACCAGCGGAUGGACGUUGCAGAGAGGCCGAUUACAAUUCAGGGCAAGUGAGACCUUGGUCGUAACCAGAGCUUUCUCCAAAUGGAACAAUCUUGAGGGCGGACAAAGAGGAGUUGAGUGCCUCCGGCAGACGAUUGAACUUAAUAGGCAUUAAGAUCCGUUCUGACUCUCCCUUUCAGCUCUGAGAUCCCAUCGCUUCCAUGCCUUGUUCCCAAAGGGAAUUAAGAGCUUUCCUGUGUUUGACUUAAAAGUUCCUCUUUUAAACAAGAUGCCUUUUAAGGUCCCCUUUGAUCAGUUUUCAUGAUGCUGUCUGUACAGUAUUUUGUCUUGGCUGCCUCCGAAGUAGAAGACAGCACAGGACAUAGCUUAAAACCCCCGCUCAUUGGCUGGGUACCCUGGACAAGUGAUGGAAGCUCACUGAACCUCAGUGAAGCGCAGAAACACAUUUCCUAUCACAGAGAUUGUUGUGAGGGUUAAAUAUCAUGCUUCUGUGAAAACCGAGUUUCCCUGGUGGCUCAGCGGUAAAGACUCUGCCUGCAUGCAGGAGCUG
ensembl:lncRNA